CUAUGGGUCAUAUUUGGAGAUUUAAAUUUGUUUUCUGAUUCCCGUCUACAGAAAGUGAUCCAUCAAUAAAUGGAGUUUGGCCACCACAAAAAUGUUCUUUAUGGAGUUCAGAGGCAGAAACUAUACAUCCAGGAGUGAAUUGACAAUGAUCUCAUAUGACAGAUGGACUUAGAGAAGAAUUAAAGACACGCUGGGGCUGAGCCAAGAGAGAACUUCCCCUUGAUGUAAUCAGCAAAUAAGAAAGUCAAAUGAUUCUACCUUUACAACAAAGACUCUGAGGCUCAAAGAGAUUAAGAUGCCUACAGUUGCAGAGAAAGAGCCCCCUGGGAUCUGAAGAGGAAGAGGCUCUAUAGUCAGAGCCAGGCUUACUCCGUCAGACGUUCUGAAAUCUUCAGUCCCUGCAGCCUUCAGAAUGAUUCUGCCUCCCCCAUCCCUCUAAACGCCCUUCAUCCUGUGCAACAUGAAAUAUCCAACUGGAGCAUUUCAGGAUGGAAAUGAUAUGUCUCAAAGACAUGUAUAUCUUACAUAGACAUACAAACACACACAGCCAUACUCUCUAAGACUACAUAUGUUUGGAGGGAAAGAGUUUAAUAGGGUUUCUUAAUGGACCUUGAAUAAAUUGUAUGGGGCAUUUUUCUCUUCACAGUAACUCAAAGAAAUACAUGCUGCUUUGAAGAUUUUGAGCUUAAAAAAGCUACUUGGCUGGGAACGUCUAUUAAAGAUGGAAAAAAGAAUGCCCACUCUAAUUUGACAAUUUAGCUAGGGAGUUUGAUGUUCUACAUGAAGUUAAAUUUCUGUAAUUUGUCAUGAUGCCCUAGAAGAAUUAGGAUCUUCUGGCUACAUUUACAACUUGCAUUC
rnacentral:lncRNA from 1 species